rnacentral:rRNA from 1 species
AGCGAACGCUGGCGGCAGGCCUAACACAUGCAAGUCGAACGAACCCUUCGGGGUUAGUGGCGGACGGGUGAGUAACACGUGGGAACGUGCCUUUAGGUUCGGAAUAACUCAGGGAAACUUGUGCUAAUACCGAAUGUGCCCUUCGGGGGAAAGAUUUAUCGCCUUUAGAGCGGCCCGCGUCUGAUUAGCUAGUUGGUGAGGUAAAGGCUCACCAAGGCUACGAUCAGUAGCUGGUCUGGGAGGAUGACCAGCCACAUUGGGACUGAGACACGGCCCAAACUCCUACGGGAGGCAGCAGUGGGGAAUCUUGCGCAAUGGGCGAAAGCCUGACGAAGCCAGGCCGCGUGGAUGAUGAAGGUCUUAGGAUUGUAAAAUCCUUUCACCGGUGAAGAUAAGGACUGUAGCCGGGAAGAAGCCCCGGCUAACUUCGUGCCAGCCGCCGCAGUAAUAC